CCUUAGCUCAGCUGGGAGAGCACCUGCUUUGCAAGCAGGGGGUCAGCGGUUCGAUCCCGCUAGGC
rnacentral:tRNA from 1 species